rnacentral:tRNA from 1 species
ACGACUGUAGCUCAGUUGGUUAGCGCGCUACCCACUCUCUAUGCCCAUGCCGAAAUCGCUGGUUCGAAUCCACUCAGUCGUACCA